GAAAUGCGAUAAGUAAUGUGAAUUGCAGAAUUCAGUGAAUCAUCGAAUCUUUGAACGCACAUUGCGCCCCCUGGUAUUCCGGGGGGCAUGCCUGUUCGAGCGUCAUUUCACCACUCAAGCCUCGCUUGGUAUUGGGCAACGCGGUCCGCCGCGUGCCUCAAAUCGACCGGCUGGGUCUUCUGUCCCCUAAGCGUUGUGGAAACUAUUCGCUAAAGGGUGUUCGGGAGGCUACGCCGUAAAACAACCCCAUUUCUAAGGUUGACCUCGGAUCAGGUAGGGAUACCCGCUGAACUUAAGCAU
rnacentral:misc_RNA from 1 species